rnacentral:rRNA from 1 species
UACGGAGGGUGCAAACGUUGCUCGGAAUCAUUGGGCGUAAAGCGCACGUAGGCGGUCUGUUAAGUCGGAUGUGAAAGCCCCGGGCUCAACCCGGGAAGUGCAUACGAAACUGGCGGACUUGAAUAUGGAAGAGGGUCGCGGAAUUCCCGGUGUAGAGGUGAAAUUCGUAGAUAUCGGGAGGAACACCAGUGGCGAAGGCGGCGACCUGGGCCAAUAUUGACGCUGAGGUGCGAAAGCGUGGGGAGCAAACAGG